GACGAACGCUGGCGGCGUGCCUAAUACAUGCAAGUAGAACGCUGAAGAGAGGAGCUUGCUCUUCUUGGAUGAGUUGCGAACGGGUGAGUAACGCGUAGGUAACCUGCCUUGUAGCGGGGGAUAACUAUUGGAAACGAUAGCUAAUACCGCAUAACAAUGGAUGACACAUGUCAUUUAUUUGAAAGGGGCAAUUGCUCCACUACAAGAUGGACCUGCGUUGUAUUAGCUAGUAGGUGAGGUAAUGGCUCACCUAGGCGACGAUACAUAGCCGACCUGAGAGGGUGAUCGGACACACUGGGACUGAGACACGGCCCAGAAUCCUACGGGAGGCAGCAGUAGGGAAUCUUCGGCAAUGGGGGCAACCCUGACCGAGCAACGCCGCGUGAGUGAAGAAGGUUUUCGGAUCGUAAAGCUCUGUUGUAAGUCAAGAACGGGUGUGAGAGUGGAAAGUUCACACUGUGACGGUAGCUUACCAGAAAGGGACGGCUAACUACG
rnacentral:rRNA from 1 species